rnacentral:rRNA from 1 species
AGUGAACGCUGGCGGCGUGCUUAACACAUGCAAGUCGAGCGAAGUAUUCAGCUGUAGCAAUACAGUUGAAUACUUAGCGGCAGACGGGUGAGUAACACGUAGACAAUCUACCUUCUAGAGGGGGAUAGCCCGCCGAAAGGCGGGGUAAUACCGCGUACGAUCAAGACCCGGCAUCGGGAUUUGAUGGAACGUCCGCAAGGACGGCUGGAAGAGGAGUCUGCGACCAUCGGCUAGUUGGCGGGGUAAUGGCCCACCAAGGCAACGACGGGUAUCCGGCCUGAAAGGGUGAUCGGACACACUGACACUGAGACACGGGUCAGACUCCUACGGGAGGCAGCAGUGAGGAAUCUUCCACAAUGCGCGAAAGCGUGAUGGAGCAAUGCCGCGUGCAGGAUGAAG